rnacentral:lncRNA from 1 species
AUCAAUGUAACUCUCAACUUCUAUCCAUAUACAUUUCUGUAACAUUCUCAAUUGCCACGUAUAAAUCUUGAAUUCAUUAGAACCAUUCUUGAGAGCCAUCCACUCUACUCGAAUCUCAAUAGCACCACCCAAAUGGACCGAACAACCUAUGCCCCAUUUUCACCCUGAUGAUAAGCUAUAAUUACAUAAUUUAGUCGCUUAUUACACUCUAAUUUACUACAAUUUUAUUGAGUUUGAGCUCUCAUCGCUUGUGCUUUACAAUAAUUGUGUAUUUUAUGACUUGUAGGAGUUAUUAUGAGAUAUGUGGAUGUUAUGGAAUGAAUUCAAGUAAUUUGGAGCUUUGAAGUCAGAGUAAAAGCUUAAGAAAUUAAGUUGGGAUCGUGUUCGAGGAUUAACGGAUGAUAGUUAGGACGAACAAAAAAUCGAGUAGGCAUAUUGCGCACUAUCUCGUAAAAUGCACAUAACUUUUCCCUCAAAACUCCACGUGGGCUCCAAAAUAUAUGAUUGGAAAGCUACUCAAAGGGAUACAAUCUUCAUGUUUUACGUUUUUCCAAAUUCCAAACGAAACAGGGUGAAAAGUGCAUGUCAAGUGCACGACCGUGCAUUGGCCACCUAGACGGGGCAGAACACUGGGCAAUGUGCGUGGUCUGAGCACGGUCCCACCGUGGACGCGCACGUCCUAUCGAAAAAAGUGUCUUUUUGGCCUAGGAGAAGGUAUAACUAUUUAAGACAAACCCUACUUAAUAUAUAUACAUGAAAAAAUGGUAUUUUGAGGACUUUUGACAUAGUUUAGACCUAAGGAGGCUAAGGAGACCGGGGAUUCGACCUAAGGAGGCAAGAACACACUAGGAGCAAUGCGGAGAAUUCUUCUACGAGUUUUUCACUUCCUUCUUCCUAUUUCUAUUGUUGGUUAUGAAUUUUAGUAUUGUGUUUUCAUAUCCUUUUAUGAAUAGCUAAUUAUUUAGUCUAAGGUUGAUGGAACCAAUUGUUAGAUGAAAUUUUGACUCAGUUUUGUUAUAAUCGAGCCGAGUUUAUUAUAUAAUUGUUCAACUAUAUUUUGUAUGGUGAUUAACUGAAUGGGCCCUUGAUUAAUCAUGUCUAUUCGUCUGGUAUUGCUUGAAAAAGAAUACUAGGUUAGAUUGUUGUUGAACAAUACCACUUUGGGUAAUUGAAGAGAUUCAUUACUUGAAUUUAAAAGUGGGGUUAGAAAUAACGAAACUUUGGUAGGAUAAUUUAGAGCUGCAUAAAUUAUCAGCCAGAGUAGUUAGAGAGAAUGCUCUAGUAAAUUAUCAUAGUGGAUCGAGAAAUAAUUGCGGUAAUGCAUAGCUCAUAAUCCUCAUAGAGUAUUACGGCGAGAUUAUAGAAAAAGAGUUAAGGAUUAAUCUAGCAAUUGAGGAAAUCAAUACCCUAGAUCUAUCUACUAUUGAAUUAUCUUUAAUUUGGAAUAUUGUUAUUCUUAAUAUCACUUUACUUUAGUUAAACAAAUCCCAAUAUUUAUUGAUAAAAAUCUUGCACUCGGGAAUUGUUUGAGCUUGCACUAGCAUCACUAAAAGUUGUAAUAAAUAGGUUCGUUUCCUGAGGAUUCGACUCUGGACUUGUAAACCAGAUAUAUUUAUAACGACCGCUUUGUCUUUUAUAAGGCAUAGUUAGGUGUGAUCAAAUUUUGGCGUCAUUCUCGAGAGCCAUCCACUCUACUCGAAUCUCAAUAGCACCGCCCAAACGGACAAAACGACCUAUCCCAAUUUGCACCCCAACACCCUAAGAAGUAAUUCACAUCUCUAAGCAACCGAGUGAACACCGACUCCAUGACGUUACACCUUUACGAAUAACAACUCAAUCGUCCAGUGUAUCUCAUAUACCCAUAAAGCAUAAUACAACCCUUAUUCAAAAAUUCCUUUACUCGAGUCACCCCUGAUAUCGACCUCUGCAAAGCAUAACCGAUUCGCAAUAUACCUCAAACUAAAACUAAUACAACACAUAACCGCGCAAUCAACCCAUCGAUAACCAACUCCCCUACUUGGCUCAAAGCCUAGGAAUAAAGAAUUUGGUAACUUAUAAUACCCCUACUCUGUUGCCACCCAAAAUCCGCAUUGAAAUUCAACUAGAUCCUUCAUAAUCUUAUGUAACACAAAACUAUCUAAUAUCUUAAAUCAUCUGUGAAUCUCACAUUCACCUUUGUAACACUCAAGAAAACCCUCAUAAUGAUCCCAGACCCAAAUUGCACUACAUAUAAUUCGUUGGUAAAAGAUGACUCCUAACAGCACAACAUAGGAAUCACACAACCUCACGACACCCCGAAUGGGAUAACUCACAUGCUUAGCCUCAACUGACAUCUUUCUAUACCCUUUAACAGUCAUAACUACUAUGCAAAUACUUAGUCUUACCAAUUCUGAACUCAUAAACAAGACAUGAAAAAUCUACUUCACUCGACAAUUAAACAACAUGAAAGGUCCUUCAACAUACCCAUAACUCGAGAUUACACAUCAAAUCAAGUCAGAAAUCAAGCAUCAAUUUACAUCUCAAUCAAACUCUUCUUCACAUUCAAACCAUAUAAACACUUCACAAAGUCAUGUCAUACUCAUUACAUAGCCGCCCAACCACAAAUUCUACCAGUAGGGAACUACUCACACAAUAAUCAUCCAUGUGCUCAAGCUACAGUCAAAACCCGGCCUCAAGUCCCCCAAACUGGCCAUCAUCAGCGUACUAAAAUUACAUCUCAUACCUCAUCACUGGAAUCAUAAGCCAUCGAUGAACAGUUGAUACUGAGCUCUCACGUGCACAUAUGAAUACAAAGUGUUCAGUAGUAAAUAUGAAUUUUUAGAUCAAAUUUUUAUAUAAUUCUACUAUAUCGACUUGUGUGCAUGGUGGGAAUCAGUUCCCAGAUGAAUCAAAGUUGAACUGGGAGAAGGAACCUAGUUUUGGAAGUUUAAACAAUAAAAAUUGGAUCGGAAUUGGACUUUUAAGUAAACGGCCCCAGAAUGGGUCGUGGAUGAUCUCAAUAGCUUCGUAUGGUGAUUUUGGACUUAGGCGCAUAUCCGGAUUUCGAAUUUGGAGGUCAUAGGAUAAAUUGAGGUAUUUCGGCAAAAGUUGGAAAAGUUGAAGUUUGGAGAAUGAAGAAGUUUAACCCAUAGUUGACUUUUGUGAUAUCGGGGUUAGAAUAUGAUUCUGAAAGUUGGAACAACUUGGUUAUAUCAUUUUGGACUUGUCUGCAGAAUUUGGCAUCAUUUCGAGUUGAAUAGAUAGAUUUUGGCACAAGUUUUGGAAGUUAGAAGGUUUGAAAGUUCCUAAGUUCGAUUCUUGGUGUUAUUCGAUGUUUUGGCAUUGUUUGAUAUGAUUUGAGACCUCGAACGAGUCUGUGUUAGGUUAUAUGACUUUUUUGUGAGUAUGGACGAGGUCCCCCGGGCCUCAGGUAUGUUCCGGGUGGACUACAGUUCAGUUUCCCUUUUUUUUUGAACUGUUGUUUUCUAUUUCUAGUAUCCUAUUUCACGAUCGCGAACAGCCUUUCGCGUUUGCGAUGCUUUGCUGACUACCUAGAAAUUCUUCUUCACAUUCACGUAACACUCCUCGCAUUCGCGAACCUUUGCUUCAUCCUUCUUCGCAUUCACAUCCUUGUCUUAGCGUAGUGUUACUUUGGAAGGUGAGUUAUUUCUUCGUCGUGUUCGCGUUCAAACUCUUACAUUCGUGAAGGUCUGCCUUCCCCUUCUUCGUGUCCGCAGCCCCUUCAUCGCGUUCGCAUACGAACUUUUUGGUAGCUUCAUUCUUCUCUUCUUCGCGAACGCGAGCCCUUUUUCGCAUUCGCGAUGCUUUAAUAUCUGGGCAGAAUAUAAGUUUUCCAAAUCGAUGGUUAGGCCAUUUUUAACAUUUUUGGAGUUCUAGAGCUCAGUUUUGGGCGAUUCUUUGUGGGUUUUUCAAGUAGAACGAUUGUGUAAGUGUUCUUCACCUAGAAUUGAUUAUAUUCCAUGGAUUUAUCUUUUUUUUAUCAUUUAAUUUAUGAUUUGGGUUGAGUAAAAUGUUAGUUUUUGAAGAAAAUUCCUAAAAAUAAAAAUCGUGAUUUGCGGGGCCAAAUGGUGUCGAAAUUUAAUAAAUUUGUGUGGUUGAACUCAUUUUGGAAUGGGUGAUCGAAUUUUAUAAAAUUUGACAGGUUCCGAGGUGCGGACCUGGGGGUCGACUUUCGGGUCGAUUUUUAUAUUUUUGUAAAGUUUGAAACUUUAUUAUUCAGAAUAGUUCGUUAUUCGAUUUAUGUGUGUUUUGGAGUUGUUAUAGUUAGAUUUGAAUUUAUAUAUAUAUAUAUAUANNNNNNNNNNNNNNNNNNNNNNNNNNNNNNNNNNNNNNNNNNNNNNNNNNNNNNNNNNNNNNNNNNNNNNNNNNNNNNNNNNNNNNNNNNNNNNNNNNNNNNNUAUAUAUAUAUAUAUAUAUUAACUUCAAUAACUGUUACAUCCUUAAUUCAAUUAGUUUCUCAAUUAUAUCCCCUUAAAUCGUCUGAGGUUGUAUUUUUAAAAAAAAAGAGUUUCUACUAAGUUUUAAGUUAUCAACUCCCCCAUUAAAGGUAAUAAUUCUUCCAAUAUUGUAUUUUAAAUUUAAAGGGGUACUUUCUUACUCGAAUGAUUUCUAAAACUAACUUCAUCUUUUCUUGCCGAUUUUUCAAGCUUAUUUAGAAAUUAAAAUUUAAUUUAUAUUAUGUAAAUAGGACUUCUUGAACACAUCAAGUGCAUUUGUAAGGAUAUUUUGUAUUGUAUAGCAUGUAAAUUUUGUUGUUAAGAGUGAGAUGGAAGAUAUGUGGGUACAAGGUGUUAAAUGUGCAGAAAGAUCGAAGGUUGAGAUUAUGAUAUGAGAAAUCGAGGAUUGAAAUAGUCGGGAUGGUGUAUUAAACAUGAUGUGAUUGAUUGGAUUGGCAUUAUUUUAUUUAAUUGGAUACAUUCUUACUUGUCUCCGUCUCUAUUACGUCAGUGUUGAAUUGCUUGGGUUAUCCGAUUUACAUGGUUUCUGUUUGCUACUAUAUGUGCUCUCCUUUUAUUGAUUAUACUAUUUGUACUUGGAUUUUCUCUCCGAGGUUGAUAUCACUUCGUUUUCUUUAUCUUGAUGUUUUAUUAUCAUAAUUUGUUCAAUUCAUUUGACCAGUAGGUGUCCCGACUAUUCUUCGUCACUAUCCCACCGAGGUUAGUCAUCGCGGUGGAGACAAGGUAAACCCGCUGCAAUAUUCGCAAGUGGAGUCACCUUCAUUUGUAUGUAUUUCCAUUUACUCUUUUUGUUUCGGGGCAGUAAUUUCUCUUAGAUAGACUUGUGACUUGUACCACCGAUUUUGAAAAUUUUGAUUUAUUCAGAGUUGGUUAAUUUAAAGUUAAUAAGCAUCAAUGUUAUUUCAGUUUAUGUUAGGCUUACCUAACUUAGAGACUAGGUGCCAUCGCGACUCCUUCAGAGGAAUUUUUGGGUCGUGACAGAUACUCUCUUGAGAACCGAGCAACGAUUCCUGCAUAAAAUAUAACAUCAUUUUCCUCUAUAGAUGCUAUUAUUAUACAUAUAAAACAGUGAUCAUUAGCACCUGCAAAGAUGAAACUUACUGCCAGUUGAAAUCUGGAGGAAUAUCUAAUUCCAAAUUAUCCAGCUCUAAAAUUCCACAGGUUGUGUUACUAUUUUCUUGUGAUAAAUGGCAAAUGCAAUGAGAAAGAUCCAAGAUUAUGUCCAAAGCUAUCAAGAUAAAAGCAAGAAGUUCAUCACACAACAGAGAAUUAACAUCAUUUGCGUCAGCUCUUUAUGAUUCUCCAGCUAAAGUCGGGAUGAACUCAUCAAUAAAUUUGUGUUGCUCGAAAUUUUUCACCUUGCACUUUUCUUCCAAAUACUCCAAGAGCUCCACAUCAGAUGGUUAAACAUCACACCAACAGGUAGAUGAGGCCAUACCUGAGAAACAUGGAUCAGUAAGCAGCAAAUUAUUAAAGUAAAUUUGAAGAACUAAGUUAUAAUACAUGUAUUUGCUGGCCUAAUGACAAGAGGGGUUGCUCUGAUGGUAAGCAACCCCCACUUCCAACCGAGAGGUUGUGAGUUCGAGUCCCCCAAGAGCAAGGUGGGAAGUUCUUGGAGGGAAGGUUGCCGGGGUCUAUUUGGAAACAGCCUCUCUACCCAAGGGUAGGGGUAAGGUAUGCGUACACACUACCCUCCCCAGAUCCCAUUCAAUGGGAUUAUACUGGGUUGUUGUUGUUGGGAUGUACCAAUAUCAUAAUAUCUAUUUUGCAUCAUGUCAGUGAAGAUUCAUAUCCAGGCGCGGAUGUGUAGGCAAAUUGAUGGGGCACGUGAACUCAUGGUCUUUCAGUCAAACUAGGUACUGUUUGUAUUUGCUGGCCUAAGUUUGAGCUAAGGGGAAAAGGAAUACAUUUUACUGCAGGGACACUUACCUAAUCAUGAAAAGAAGCAAGAUCCACCAUAUGAUGUAUUAAAUGUCAAACUAUCCCUGUUAACUUGUCCUGCAAAAUACAAGCUAAAGACAAACUUCACCUACGAACAAGUCUAAACAAGAUAGCGAAAGAACAUCAAUUCAAAUUCGAAGUAACAAUUUCAAUUCAUGAGAAUUAUGAGAGUCCCAAAAAGAAAAUCCCAAUGAGGCCCAAAAAAGAAGAAGAAAUAACACCUGCAAAUAAAAAGCCUUAAUUUCUAAUCCAAAUCCAAUAGAGAAAUAGGACAAGGUCAGUCGUACUUCUUCUGUAAUACGCAAACACCUAGCCAAUCGAUACCGAAAAUUAAAUUUUGCAGUACAAGAGUACGAUUACCUUGAUGGAACAAAGCUAAAGCAUCGAACAAACACAGCCAAAACUUGGGAAAGAUUAAUUGAAUUUCAGGCUUAGCAAUGGAAAAAAGCCGAAGAAUUAGGUUUAAACUCCAAUUUAACAGCUCAAAAUUAGGUAAAACCUAUAAAUUUGCCAAGUAAGAAUUAGGUAAAGCAUAUAAAAAGAAGAAUCAGAGCAACACCCAUAAAUCGCAGCAAUUGUAAAUAUUUUUCGAAUAAAUCUGUACAACAAAAUAUAAAUAAAGACCAAGAACAACAAACUAACCAAUUGACCUGUAGAAACAAAAAGGAUGUACUGGGAGAGCAGAGCAGGUUAAUCACUUUAAGAUACAAAGAAAUCUAAAAAAAGCAGAGGAAGAAGAAACCCCAAUAUUAAGCAGUGGCUGUAGAGGUAAAUGUCCAAGUAUAAUGCUGAUAGUAUCAGGGGAAGAUGUAAAAUAGGCUUUGAAAAUGUCCCAGAAAUUUCCAUUAUUUACAAAUUUCUCUGAUGGCAAUUAAUGUAAAAAUGUUGAAAAACAGGGGCAAAAAUAUAAAAACGGAAGCUGGCAUGUCGAUGGAGACGCGUCUGUGUCAGCUGAUACACUCGCACUUUUAAC